UUAAUGGUGGGGUUACCAUUAUCCUUUGUGUAGUGACGAAUCUUGUAUGUGUUCCUAAGAAUAAGAAAAGGAAUUUGUCCAUUUUUCGAGGUCUCAAAGGGGCGCAGCUAGAAUUC